AUUGAACGCUGGCGGCAGGCCUAACACAUGCAAGUCGAGCGAGCGGCGGACGGGUGAGUAUUGUAUGGGGACUGCCCGAUAGAGGGGGAUAACUACUGGAAACGGUGGCUAAUACCGCAUACUAUCGGAUAACCCAUAUGGGGUUAGCUAGUAGGUGGGGUAAAGGCUCACCUUGGCGACGAUCUCUAGCUGGUCUGCGAGGAUGAUCAGCAACACUGGGACUGAGAAACGGCCCAGACUCCGACGGAGGCAGCAGUGGGGAGAAUUGCACAAGGGGCGCAAGCCUGAUGCAGCCAUGCCGCGUGUAUGAAGAAGGCCUUAGGGUUGUAAAGUACUUUCAGCGGGGAGGCGUUACCCGGAGAAGAAGCACCGGCUAACUCAGUGCCAGAAGCGGCGGUAAUUC
rnacentral:rRNA from 1 species